rnacentral:rRNA from 1 species
GAAAGCUUGCUUUCUUGCUGACGAGUGGCGGACGGGUGAGUAAUGCUUGGGAAUCUGGCUUAUGGAGGGGGAUAACGACGGGAAACUGUCGCUAAUACCGCGUAUUAUCGGAAGAUGAAAGUGCGGGACUGAGAGGCCGCAUGCCAUAGGAUGAGCCCAAGUGAGAUUAGGUAGUUGGUGGGGUAAAUGCCUACCAAGCCUGCGAUCUCUAGCUGGUCUGAGAGGAUGACCAGCUACACUGGAACUGAGACACGGUCCAGACUCCUACGGGAGGCAGCAGUGGGGAAUAUUGCGCAAUGGGGGGAACCCUGACGCAGCCAUGCCGCGUGAAUGAAGAAGGCCUUCGGGUUGUAAAGUUCUUUCGGUAUUGAGGAAGGUUGAUGUGUUAAUAGCACAUCAAAU